UACGUAGGGUGCAAGCGUUAAUCGGAAUUACUGGGCGUAAAGCGUGCGCAGGCGGUUCGCUAAGACAGAUGUGAAAUCCCCGGGCUUAACCUGGGAACUGCAUUUGUGACUGGCGGGCUAGAGUAUGGGCAGAGGGGGGGUAGAAUUCCACGUGUAGCAGUGAAAUGCGUAGAGAUGUGGAGGAAUACCGAUGGCGAAGGCAGCCCCCUGGGCCAAUACUGACGCUCAUGCACGAAAGCGUGGGGAGCAAACAGG
rnacentral:rRNA from 1 species